CUGCCAUGGAGGUGUCCCUCGGUGCCCCCGAGGCCGGGCAGUGGCCGGGGCCGAGCCGUUCCUCCGACACAGCCGGGCCUCACAAACGCGGCGGUGGGACAGACACGGCGCUGUCGCCUCCUCCUCCUCCCAGCCGCAAAGUAUGGGCUCAUUAACUCGUCUCCUUUUCUCAUCAUAUCUCCACGGGGCUGAGAGACGAAUUGCGGGGGCUGAAUCGGGAGGGGAUUGCUCUAUAUGGGGGCGAAUGUUUCAAUCAGUUCCUCCUGAAGGACCACACAAAAAGAAACUUUUCGGUUUAUGGUGCUAUUAUGCAGCGUUUUAAUCUAGGGAUAGAUUUAGCCAAAUGUUAUCUAUUGGGAAUUUAAUGAAGCCCUUAUGUAUUCAAUUGCGCUUUAUGCCACACACAGUGCCUCUAUCCAGAAACGUUUCCUUCCACAUAUUUCUUUGUUUCUGUUGGGUGAUUUAUAUAUUUUUAAUUAGUUUUUCUUUAAUUAUUUCAUCUCGGCCGUCUUGUACAACAUUCCUCCCAAGCAGGACUGCGUUUGGUCGCUUCCCACAUCCCCUACACUUUUCCUCCGCCCUUCCCCGUUUGGGAGCUGAUAACUUUGCACGUCCGCGCGCUGCGCCCGUCCCUCAGAGAGCUCCCCCGGGGGCCGACACCGCGACGGCUCCGACGGCACCGCUGUGGGCGCGGGGGCCGGGCCAGGCAGGGGGGGUGGGGGUCUGCACGCCGCUCCCCGGCCCCGAAGCCGCCCCAUCCGCAGCUCCUUUGGGCGGCACGCUUCUCCCGGUCACUUUCCUGCCGCAGCGAGAGGCAUCGUCGGCAUCGGGGGGUGCUCUGGCUCACCCCGCACCCUUGCGGGAUGGAUUCAAGCAGCACUGUCCCUGAGCCCGGGGACGGGGUGGGGCGGCGAUGGCCUCACCUGCUCUCGGCUGCUCCCUUCGCUGCUGUGCCGGUGUCAAAGGGGAGCGCACACGGCCGCCCCCGCAGUGGAGGCCUGGGCGGGAGAUCUGCUGGAAAGCAGCUCUGGUUUAAUAGCCCCUUGGCACGGCCCGGAGACUCUGCUCUAAAUCGUGGAAAUUAUGAUCAUGGCCAAAUGCUCCCUGCACGGGAACUUGCUAACCAAAGCAGAUCCGCUCCUCAGCUGGCCCGGGCCGCAGAGAAGUGCCGCCCGCGUCCCAGCGGAGCUGCUCCCGGCAGAAGAGAAGAGCCGCCGCCCGGCCCGACUCUCCGCCGAGGUCCGGAUUCGACCUAAAAGUGAGGAGAGGCAAAGCCCGGCGCUGGGAGAUGGGUGGCCCCGCGGCGAACAUUGCUGCGGCCCCGCGGAUGGCCGCCGCCGCCCCUGCGCACCCGCAGCCCGCACCGCGGAGGGCGGAGAGUCGCAGCUGGGCCUCGGCAUGCCCAGGAAGCAGGACGAGUUAUAGACUGGGCUGUACGCAUUACCGAUGAUCAUUUAAUGCAAGAUCUAUACGAUUUUAGAAAUGGUACCACUGAAUUCAGCGGGAAAAUCAUAGAGGGAAUGUGUUUUGUUUUGUUUUGUUUUUUCAAACAAAAAAAAUAAUUAAACUAGCCCUUUCUCCAAACCGCAAGAGAGUUGUUGAAUUGAUUCUAAGUUUCCCUUUCGCCGAUGGAGCAAAACGGCAUGCAGAAGUCUGCGGGGCCCCAUAUUUAAAUGAUAAAUUAUGCAACUCAUGUCGGGAGCAAAAGGAUAAAUAAGGGUUUCGGUUGUUGCAAUAACUCGUUCUCAGAAGCUGGGGUAACCCUACCCACCAUCGGCCAGGACGUAUUUCUCUCCCGUAGGGCGGCAGAAAACC
ensembl:lncRNA